GAUGAAGAACGCAGCGAAAUGCGAUACGUAAUGUGAAUUGCAGAAUUCAGUGAAUCAUCGAGUCUUUGAACGCACAUUGCGCCCCCUGGUAUUCCGGGGGGCAUGCCUGUCCGAGCGUCAUUGCUGCCCUCAAGCACGGCUUGUGUGUUGGGCCCCCGUCCCCCUCCCAGGAAGGGGACGGGCCCGAAAGGCAGCGGCGGCACCGUGUCCGGUCCUCGAGCGUAUGGGGCUUUGUCACCCGCUCGGGACGGACUCGUCGGCGCUGGUCUUCCUCCAGGCGACCCUUCGGGGCUCGUCUUCCUUCGGUUGACCUCGGAUCAGGUAGGGUUACCCGCUGAACUUAAGCAUAUCAAUAAGCGGAGGA
rnacentral:misc_RNA from 1 species